GAUCCUGCCGGAGGCCACUGCUCUCGUAAAUCGAUUAAGCCAUGUGAGUCGAGAGGUGCAAGACCUCGGCAUACUGCUCAGUAACACGUGGACAACCUACCCUGAGGAGGGGGAUAACCCCGGAAAAGUGGGGAUAAUACCCCAUAGGCCAGGGAUGCUGGAAUGCCUUCCUGGUUGAAAGGUCCGCCGCCUCAGGAUGGGUCUGCGGCCGAUUAGGUUGUUGUUGGGGUAACGGCCCAACAAGCCAUUGAUCGGUACGGGUUGUGGGAGCAAGAGCCCGGAGAAUGGAUUCUGAGACACGAAUCCGGGCCCUACGGGGCGCAGCAGGCGCGAAAACUUUACAAUGCGAGAAAUCGUGAUAAGGGAACCCCGAGUGCCCGUAAAUUUCGGGGCUGUCCCAUCAGUGUAAAAAACUGGUGAAGAAAGGGCCGGGCAAGACCGGUGCCAGCCGCCGCGGUAAUACCGGCGGCUCGAGUGGUGGCCGCUAUUAUUGGGCUUAAAGCGUCCGUAGCUGGGUUGUUAAGUCUCCCGGGAAAUCCACCGGCUCAACCGGUGGGCGUUCGGGAGAAACUGGCAACCUAGGGACCGGGAGAGGUGAGAGGUACUCCAGGGGUAGGAGUGAAAUCCUGUAAUCCUUGGGGGACCACCUGUGGCGAAGGCGUCUCACUAGAACGGCUCCGACAGUGAGGGACGAAAGCUGGGGGAGCAAACCGGAUUAGAUACCCGGGUAGUCCCAGCUGUAAACGAUGCGCGUUAGGUGUAUCGGUGACCACGAGUCACCGAGGUCUCGAAGGGAAACCGUGAAACGUGCCGCCUGGGAAGUACGGUCGCAAGGCUGAAACUUAAAGGAAUUGGCGGGA
rnacentral:rRNA from 1 species